rnacentral:rRNA from 2 species
UGGCGGACGGGUGAGUAAUGUCUGGGAAACUGCCUGAUGGAGGGGGAUAACUACUGGAAACGGUAGCUAAUACCGCAUAACGUCGCAAGACCAAAGAGGGGGACCUUCGGGCCUCUUGCCAUCGGAUGUGCCCAGAUGGGAUUAGCUAGUAGGUGGGGUAACGGCUCACCUAGGCGACGAUCCCUAGCCGGUCUGAGAGGAUGACCAGCCACACUGGAACUGAGACACGGUCCAG